rnacentral:rRNA from 1 species
GACGAACGCUGGCGGCGUGCCUAAUACAUGCAAGUUGAGCGCUGAAGGUUGGUACUUGUACCAACUGGAUGAGCAGCGAACGGGUGAGUAACGCGUGGGGAAUCUGCCUUUGAGCGGGGGACAACAUUUGGAAACGAAUGCUAAUACCGCAUAAAAACUUUAAACACAAGUUUUAAGUUUGAAAGAUGCAAUUGCAUCACUCAAAGAUGAUCCCGCGUUGUAUUAGCUAGUUGGUGAGGUAAAGGCUCACCAAGGCGAUGAUACAUAGCCGACCUGAGAGGGUGAUGGGCACAAUUGGGACGGAAACACGGCCAAAACUCCUACGGGGGGCCAGAGUAGGGAAUUUUCGGAAAUGGACGAAAGUCGAACCGAGCAACGCCGGGGGGGUGAAGAGGGUUUUGGGAUGGAAAAACCCUUUUGGUAGAGAAAACCGUGGGGGGGGGGGGAAAGCACAUCAAGGGAGGGUAACUACCCAAAAAGGGGCGGUUAACUCGGU